UGAUCAACCGUGACUCUNAAUGCAUCUGCUUAAACUUUGAUCAUGGCUCAUGCAUGAGCGNGUAACGUGCGUNACCUAAUAACAUGCAAGUCGAGCGAAUGGAUUAAGAGCUUGCUCUUAUGAAGUUAGCGGCGGACGUGGUGAGUAACACGUGGGUAACCUGCCCAUAAGACUGGGAUAACUCCGUGGAAACCUGGUGGCUAAUACCGGAUAACAUUUUGAACUGCAUGGUUCGAAAUUGAAAGGCGGCUUUGGCUGUCACUUAUGGAUGGACCCGCGUCGCAUUAGCUAGUUGGUGAGGUAACGGCUCACCAAGGCAACGAUGCGUAGCCGACCUGAGAGUGGUGAUCGUGCCACACUGGGACUGAGACACGGCCCAGACUCCUACGGGAGUGCAAGCAGUAGUGGAAUCUUCCGCAAUUGGACGAAAGUCUGACGGAGCAACGCCGCGUUGAGUGAUGAAGGCUUUUCGGGUCGUAAAAACUCUUGUAUGUNUAGGGACAGAACCANGUGCUAGUUGAAUAAGUUGGCACCUUGACGGUACCUAACCAGAAAGCCACGUGCUAACUACGUGCCAGCAGCCGCGGGUAAUACGUANGUGGCCAAGCGGUUAUCCCGGAAAUUAUUUGGGCGUAAAGACGCGCCCACGGUGGUUUCUUUAACGGUCUNGNUUUAAAGCCACNGGUUCCACCCGUGGAGGGUCACUUGGGAAACUUGGGGCANACCUUAUUNUCGCACCAAGNACAUUGGAUUCCAUUUUUACCGUUAAAAUUCUUACAACNUGGGAACCCCCUUGGCAAAAGACACUUAGCAAUUAAAUAACACAAUANGCACAUUUGGAUCAANUNUAUCANGUAUCCACCACAAUAUAAGUUACCUCUUAUAGUAAAAAUAUCCAUGAUAUCAANGAGUACAAAAAU
rnacentral:rRNA from 1 species